ensembl:lncRNA
AAGAGCAUCUCUCAGUUCCCCAAUAAGCUGUUCUCAGUCGGACAUGUUUGCUGAGCUGGAGGCUACAGCACCUCGGAGUGUGUCCUGUCAAUCCUUGGAUCAUGUUGACUGUAGUGACAUGGAAAUCACCUCACCUACCACAGAUCUGAGUCCCGGUCUGGCCGCUCUGACGGUCGGCUGUGACUCUGGUGACCUGGGUUCUCUAUCCCGAGUGCAGCUCUUGCUCCUGGAAAGAGGAACAUCUGAGGGUCUGGAACCCCUGCCAGAUCUAGAAUGGAACAGUCCGAUAGAGGAGAGAGGAGACUAUGAACCUGGGCUUCAAGUUUGGAGCUUGGGCAUUCCCCAACAUUAUCAGUGCACAGAUCCCUAUGCACAGGUGAGCAGCAGUGUGUCACUAAGUGUGAGGCACUUUCCACUCGGACAAGUGGACAUCACAAGUGGAACUCCGGGGAGAUUAAGGAAGAGGGGAAAGGGCAUGGCUCUGAGGCGAAACGGUAGCAGCAAGUGGUAUGAUCCGGAGCAUCCGCAGGAAAAGCUUAGCGAUGCUGAAGACAUCUCGAGAUCUUCCUCCUGGUCUCUCAGUUGUGCGUCGAGAGAAAACACGCCGUGGGAGGAAGAAGUUACGGCGCAAUCAGGAGGAAGUGACGUCAUGAGCGACGCCGAUCUCCACCCGAGCGCACAGCCAACCGAGCCCAGAGUGACUGAAGGAACCUCACAAAAAGCGGCUUGUCCAGGAAAGCGAGAGCGACCUGUUACAGGAGUGCGCAGGGGCCCGAACCAAAUCAAAGACAGGAGGAGGAGGCAUCACAGGAAGAUGCUGGGAGAGAAGGGAGAAGAGCGGAAGAGCAAAGCACUGCAAAUUUACACCAGACUGCGAGACGGAAACAAGCCGACUGAGCCCAGCAAGCCGAGAAGCUGUUCCAGGUUUGAGGACUUUGAUUUCCUGGCCAAGUACUGCAUUAUCAGUCCUGAGAAGCUCGCCGCAUACAGACGUGCUUUUGAAGCUGUGGACAGUGAUGGUGAUGGCUAUCUAUCGUGCUUUCAAGUACUGCUGGCUCUAAAGGAGAUCAUUCCUCCAGAACUGCUGACUGAAGAGGAGGAAAUCUAUGUGUACAGGAUUCUAGAGCUGGUUGAUUUCAGCGUGACUGAGGGUCUGACGGAUUUGCGUCUCUUCGCCGUCGUUGCCAGUCUGGCACAGAAGAUAGCCACACUAGAUGAUUUCAUGCGGUCUCUCAUUAGCAAGAUGGACUUCAAGUCUUUGGAGAUGAAGCUGUACAAAGCAAAGCAGUUGUUCCUGUUCCUGCUGGAGGGCCAGUCUGAGGGCAGCGAGGCACCACAGGGUCGUAUCAGUGCUGAACAACUGCUUGUGGAGCUGAAGGCAGGGGGGAUCCGUGAGGAGCAGGAGGAAGAGGUCAGGCGUGAACUCCGUAGCCUUCGCUCCCUCGACCUGCUUGACUUCCUCGCACACCUACCCCUCUUCAUCCUCAUCCACAACUCCGUCAUUGCCAACCCGCUGGAUGACUCUAGCAACCUGUGACAGAAACACCAAAGCUGUGUUAUGUUUUAAAGGCAGCAUCCAUAUCGCAUGCAAGCCAUACUGUCAGGAUGCCCUGUCACAGCUUCUAGUGCACCUUACUCACGAUAUUCGUUUAUUCACUACCGCUUAUCAGCUUCGAUCAGCAAUAAAACUGAACAUGAAUACAAUUUUCUGUGUGAAAAAAAAAAAUGCUUCGUUUAAGAAAUGUCACGGUACACCAAUGGAGCAGGUCGUUUCAUUUUGCCGUUCAUCGAGAUGAACUUUGACCUGCAAAUGAUGCGCCUAAGGUGGUCUGUUCAGUCUGUAAAACUCAAAUAAAGGAGUUAUUAGAAGUCAUAC